AAACCAGCACCUCAAGUGGUCAGGAUGAUUAUUGGGCCUAAAGCAUCCGUAGCCGGCUCUGUAAGUUUUCGGUUAAAUCUGUACGCUCAACGUACAGGCUGCCGGGAAUACUGCAGAGCUAGGGAGUGGGAGAGGUAGACGGUACUCGGGAGGAAGUGGUAAAAUGCUUUGAUCUCUCGAUGACCACCUGUGGCGAAGGCGGUCUAUCAGAACACGUCCGACGGUGAGGGAUGAAAGCUGGGGGAGCAAACCGGAUUAGAUACCCGUGUAGUCC
rnacentral:rRNA from 1 species